GAUGAAGAACGUAGCGAAAUGCGAAAAGUAAUGUGAAUUGCAGAAUUCAGUGAACCAUCGAAUCUUUGAACGCACAUUGCGCCCGCUGGAACUCCGGCGGGCACGCCUGUCCGAGCGUCAUUUCAACCCUCAGGCCCCCCUUCGCGGGCGGGCCUGGUGUUGGGGCCCGGCCGCUACCCUGCGGCCGUCCCCUAAAUUCAGUGGGGGCCUCGCCGUGAUCCCUUGCGUAGUAAUGCACCUCGCACCGGAGAGCGCCGUGGCCACGCCGUAAAACCCCCAAUUUUCAAUGGUUGACCUCGGAUCAGGUGGGAAUACCCGCUGAACUUAAGCAUAUCAAUAAGCGGAGGA
rnacentral:misc_RNA from 1 species